rnacentral:lncRNA from 1 species
AGAAGUUCCCAAGCCAGGGAUCAAACCUGAGCCACUACAGUGACACCAGAUCCUUAACUCACUGCACCACAAGGGAACUCCAUGAUUGUUCUUAAUGGCAUCUUAAAUGGUGAAUUCUUUCAAGAAGUUUUGCAAUUUACUUUUCCAGAUCCAUCAGAGGAAUCACUAUGUACAGCAGCUAUAGCCUUAUGAAAUUAUAUUUCUUAAAUAAUAAGACUUGAUAGUUGAAAUUACUCCUUGAUCCAUGGGCUACAAAAAUGGACAGUUAGCAGGCAUGAAAACAACAUUAAUCUCAUUACACAUCUCCUUCAGAGCUCAUGGGUGACUAGAUGCAUUGUCAAUGAGCAGUAAUAUUUCUAAAAGAAUAUUUUUUUUGAGCAGUAGGUCUCAGUCAUGGGCUUAAAAUAGUAAAUCGUGUUAUAAUUAUAUGUGCUGGAAUUUGGGCUUUAUUGUUUCAUUUCCAGAGCAUAGACAGAGUAGAAUUAGGGGGUCACUGGAUAUUCAAAAUGGUAAAUGAGCACCAGCUUCAACUUCAAGUCACCACCUACACUAGCCUCUAACAAGAGUCUGUCUGUCCUUUGAAGCCAGGCAUGACUUCUCCUCUCUAGUUAUGAAAGUCCCAGAUGGUAUCUUACUCCAAUAUAAGCCUGUUUUGUUUACAGUGAAAAUUUCUUGUAGCCACCUUCAUUAAUUAUCUUAGCUAGAUUUUCUGGAAAUUUUGCCGCAGCUUCUAUUAUCAACUCUUGCUGCUUUACCUUGUACUUUUAUGUUAUGGAGACAUUUUAAAUUUUAUGUUAAAUUUCAUACCAGCCUCUGCUGGCUUUAAGCUUUUCUUCUGCAGCUUCCACACCUCUCUCAGCUUUCAUGGAAUUGAAGAUGGUUAAAGCCUUGCUCUGAGUUAGACUCUGACUGGAGGGCAUGUUAUGGCUGGUUUGAUCCUCUAUCUGGACCACUAAAACUUUCUCCACAUCAACAAUAAAGCUGUUUCACUUUCUUGUCAUUUGUGUGUUCACUGGAGUAGCAUUUUUUUGGGGGGUGGGGGGCUGCACUUGAGGCAUGCAGAAGUUUCCAGACUAGGGAUCGAACCUGCUCUAUGGCAGUAACCAGAGCCACAGCAGUGACAACACUAGAUCCUUCAUAUGCUAAGCCACCAGGGAACUCCUGGAGUAGCACUUUUAAUUUCUUUCCAGAACAUUUCCUUUGUAUUCACAACUUGGUUAACUGGUGAAAGAGGCCUAGCUUUUGGCCUAUCUUAGCUUUCCCUGUGCCUUUCUCACUAAGCUUAAUCAUUUCUAGCUUUUAAUUUAAAGUGAGAAAUAUGUGACUCUUCCUUUCACUUGAAUACUUAGAGACUAUUCUGAGGUUAUUAACUGGCCUAAUUUCAAUAUUGUUGUGUCUUAGGGAACAGGAAGGCCCAAGGAGAGAGAGAGAUACAGGGAACAUUUAUCGGUUAAGCCUACCAUCUUAUAUGAGCAUGGCUCGUGACUCCCCAAAAUAACUGCAAUACUAACAUCAAGGAUCACUGAUCAUAAAUCACCAUAACAAAUGUAAUAAUAAUUUUAAAAAAAAGCUUGAAAUACUGCGUAAUUACAAAAAUCGACACAGAGACAAGAGAUGAGCAAAUGCUGUUGGAAAAAAAUGACACCAAUCGACUUGCUCAAUGAAGGGUUGCCACAGACCUUCAAUUUGUAAAAAACAGUAUUGACAAAGCACAAUAAAACAAGAUAUGCCUGUAUGUGGGAAAUCUCUGUACUUUCCUAUUUCAUUACACCUAAAGCUGCUCUUUAAAUGCCUUUUUAAAAAGAAGAAGAACGAUGAGAGAUAAGGAAAGGAAAGAGAAAGAGAGCACAUAUACAGAAGGCUACAGUCCUCAUUUACACAAAUGGCCAAGAAGCCAUAGUGGAAUUUUUUUUUCUUCCUUUUUAGGGCCACACCCAUGGCAUAUGGAAGUUUCCAGGCUAGGGGUCGAAUAGGAGCUGCAGCUGCCGGCCUACACCACAACCACAACAAUUGUGGGAUCAGAGCAGCGUCUGCAACCUACACCACAGCUCAUAGCAAUGCUGGAUCCCCGACCCACUAAGUGAGGCCAGGGAUUGAACCCACAUCCUUAUGGACCCUAGUCAGAUUCGUUUCCACUGUGCCACGAAGGGAACUACCCCCACAGCGGACAUUUUAACUCCCCUCCUCUACUCACUUAAGCUAUGGUUGCCUUUGCCCAGUGUAAGUCAGUUAAAGAUCUUUUCCUGGACAAGUGACUCAAAUUUUGAUUCCUGAGGUAUCCUAGCCUGCUUUAUUUUUUGAAACUUAAUAACUGGGCAUGUAAAAGGAAGAUUCUAGACUCUGUGUAAACCUCACUUACAGCAGUUAACUCUAAUUUACCUUUGAUAACCACUGCCAAUAACAUCAACCAAUACUAGAAGCCUAAUUUCUCUAGCUGUGAAUUGCGUUUUUUGACUGAUCACAAUGUUUUAUGAAACAUAGCAAUAGUACCAAAAACAAAGGCAUUCAAUGAUUCCACAGAUUAUAUCAAUGGUAGAAUUAUGACAAAAAAAGAAAUGGCAAAUAAUGCAGAUUAAAUGUCAGUUUUAAUAAUUAAGAAAUGUUUUCCCCAAGGCUUCCAGAUAAAGAUGGCAAGUUCAACAUAAUAAUUCAAUUUCACUUCCUCUGAAAUUCCACUAAAACCACAGUAAAGGUAUAUUUUUAAAACCCAUAAACUCAUAAAUCCAGAAAGAAGAGAAAAGGAGACAACAGCAAUAAAACUGUGGACACUGGAAUGCAGAAAAAGUGACUUCGAAUAUAGUGGGAAAAGCCAAGAACUAAGUUGAUGUGUAUCACAGACUCUUCCAAAGGCUCAGGAGCUAAGUGGACUUCCAGAAGUGGGAGGUGGGGAGUAGUAAGAAGGGAUAUUAAAUAAGCAAUGAUAGAAUACAGAUAUGUUUUGGGGGUUCUUUUGGUCUUUUUAAGGGCCUACCCCCAGCAUAUGGAAGUUCCCAGGCUAGGGGUUGAAUCAGAGCUGUAGCUGCUGGCCUGCACCACACCCACAGCCACAAUAAUGUGGAUCCGAGCUGCAUCUGCCACCAACACCACAGCUCACAGCUCACAGUGGAUCCUUAACCCACUGAGCAGGGCCAGGGAUCCAACCCGCGUCGUCAUGGAUAUUAAUCAGGUUUGUUACCUCUGAGCCACAAUGGGAACUCCAUGAAUGCAGUUUUAAAAUACAUUCCCCACCCCUAGAGGAGUGCUGGCUGGGCUUGGUGACUUUCUUCCAAAAAACAGGGUAUGGAAAGAAAGAUACAAGUAACUAGAGAAACCAGAGACACCACUUUAGCCAAGUGAGCACUCAGGGUUAAGGUCACCAGUCAUAAGUCGUGUUGCUGUCAUGGACUCCUGAUAGGAUACAAUGAAAAAGGCAGUUCAUCCCUGUGACUUUCUUCCUCCAUAUUCCUGAUGUAAUCAUGGCAAACCCAAACAUUAGGCAAACUCAAAUUGAAGGACAGCCUAUAAACUACCUGACCAGGACUCUUCAAAACCGCCAAGACCAUGGAAGACAAAGAAAAAACUGUCACAGCUUGGAGACCAAGGGAGCAUGAUUACUGAAUGCAGUGUAAUAUCCUGAAACAGAGAAAGGGAACUGGCGAAAAAACUGUUGAAAUCCAAAUAAAGUCUGCGGUGAUGUUUUCACAGUGUUGCACUCACGGCAAUUUCUUGGUUUUGGUAAAUGCCGCUGGAUUAUGGAAGAUAUUACCAUUCAGGGAAGCUUGGGGAAGAGUAUACCCAAGCCUGUACCAUCUUUGCAAAUUUUUGUAAAUCAAAAUUAUUUCAAAAUAAAAAAAUUUUAAAUAUUAAAAAAAAAGAAAAGGAGCUAGAGUGCUAGCUCCCCUCCCUCAUGGUAUUAACUCCUACAGAAAACUGGAACUGGUGGCAGAAUGAUGGAACAGCUGUGGGAACAGGUACCCAACUGGGAAACAGGAGGACCAUCUAAGCAUGUGGACACUGAAUGAUAAAAGCCAGUACCAGCCUUAGAACUGGGCGCAUGGGCCCCACUAGUUAAGAGAGCCCCACCUAUCAGAGAGAUAGAGAAAAUAAGUUCAUGAAAGACCAUAUGGGUAUCCUUAUCAAGUCGCCGCACUCAGCACUGGCAUAGUACCAUCUGUAACUUUAAAUAUGUCCCUUUUGUGCCUCUAACUUCAUUUGAGCCCCAGGGAGAUGCUUCUCUACAUCUCUUGCUCUUGUCCUCCUUUCUCCUCUAAAUAAAAGGUGACUGUUCCUGAAUGCUGUGUAGGUGUGUGGGUUGUGCUCUUAUGUCAGACAGACUUUGCUAUGGAAAGAAUGUGAACAGCAGAAGCACUUCGCUAAGAGAAAAUACAAAUUAAUUAGUUUGACAAAUCGUUCUGAGAGCCUGUGUGAAAUAGAUACUUAUGUAUUAAAUUCUCAGAGCAUCGGAUGUCCAUUUUUUUUAUUUCAUUUUGAAUUCCAGUUGGAGGAUCCAGUGACAUUCGCUAAUUAACAUACUAUUCAGCACCAUUAUGCAUGACAGCUGAGAAACAUUUUGCAGUAUUAAAUAAUUCAUAUUACUUUUUUUGGCUGUGCCCACAGCAUAUGGAAGUUCCCAGGCCAGGGGUCAAACCCAGCACCUCUACAAUGACCUGAGCCACUGCAGAGACCACAUCAGAUCCUUAACUUGCUGCAUCACAGCGAGAACUCCCAUAUUACUCUCUUGAUGUUGUUUUAUUUUUUUAAUUUUUUAUUAUAGUUGAUUUACAAUCCCAUAUUACUUAAGUCUGUGUGUACAUAUAUCUAGAUGUAGAAAGUGUGAAGUGAACUGUAUAUUUCACAGUGAAUGAUGGAUAGUGAUUCUAGGAUUGCUAUUUGUUUUACUUUUACAAAAUUUUUAACGAUUUAAAUAAAAUGUUAAAUUUGAAUUACCAGACAAGCAACGAGAGAAAGCAUGAGAUGACUUCUCAGUUCUCUCUCUCGAUAAGUUACAGUUUCCUCAAGCAAGGUUUGCACAACAGGUAACACUUAUCCAAUGUUUCUCAAACCCGAGGCAAUUUCCUUCCCUGCCUCACCUUGGGGACAGGCAUUUGGCAAUACCUGGAGACGUUUUUGACUGCCAUGAUUCAAGGAUGGGCUGCUACUGGUGUCUGGUAGGUAGAGGCCAAGAAUGCUGCUAAACAUCUCACAAUGCACAGGGCAGCCCCCCACAACAACAAAAAAUCCAUUCCAAAAUGUUAAUAGUGCCACAGUUGUGAACUCUGUUUUACGUACGUCCAGGAGUCUGGGGUUCUCUAAGCCUUGUUGUCUCUCACAUACUGCUAUUCCAGUUGUCAAGACCCCACUCUUCCCUAAUCUAAUUUAACCUGACAUUCACAAAAUGUCUAGCAAAGUAUGUGAACUCAUGUACUAAUAUAAUUUGCCAAAUCAUGGAAUCAAUCUCUGAAUAUGGUAGUUACCUCAGCCAUAUGACUACAAGCUGCAAGAGAUUUUUUACAACAUUAUCCCAUAAAGGCUUUAAGUUUCAUUCCAUUAAGGCAACGCUUUUGCAAUGUGAGUAUGUCACCCGCUUGCUUUAAAUUAUCCCAUGCCAUUAAAGGCAUCUAUCAUGGCUCAAUCACUCCUGUACCCCUUUUUAAUUAGUCUAUGGCAGCAGCUAUCUGAUUCACCAGAGCUUUCUUCUCAGUGAGUACACAGUCCCACAUAACCUACAAGAUAACUUCAUUAGCUAUUUUUCAAUCUCAUAGUAUGGAAUACCACUUUACCACCAUGGAGUAUGAAGGGAAGUCUCUGCAUUUUGCCUGACCUCUAUGUAAUGACCAUUUCCCUGAGGUCAUGUUGUCUGCAAUCCACUGUCUGGAACCACUAGACAGUAAGCUCCGUGGAGGGAGGGACCACACCUGUAUUAUCAAUCACUGUAUCCCCAGUGCCUAGGCUGUACUUGGCACAUAGCAGGUACCUAGUUAAAUUUGCUGAAAGAAUUAAUAAAGUCAAAUGUCAGUUCCUCUAAGAAACUUUUUUUACUACAAUGCUUAUUACAUAUUUUUCUUCAUCUGUUUUUCCUCCUCAGCUGAGUCUCUCGAGACAGAGGCCUAAUAAUAAAGAUAUGUAGUAACCUAGUAACCAAGGUACAAGAAAGACCUUUCAAACAACUCAAAUAAUAAAACCAGCAUCUCCACUACCAGUGCCAAAAGAGACAGCAUUAAAGAACUGAGAACUUAAGAAUUUACAGGCUUUUCACAUAGGGAAGUAAAGCUGUGGAAAGGCUGGAACAGCUUAGGUUUCUAAGUACAUGCAGAACUUGUCUCUAAGAGAUAACCAAACUGCUUUCACGCCUACCAAAAAAAAAAAAAAAAAAAAAAAAAAAAAGACCUCCAUGGAGUUCCCGUCAUGGCUCAGUGGUUAACGAAUCUGACUAGGAACCAUGAGGUUGCGGGUCCGAUCCCUGGCCUUGCUCAGUGGGUUAAGGAUCUGGUGUUGCCGUGAGCUGUGGUGUAGGCUGCAGAUGUGGCUCAGAUCCCGCGUGGCUGUGGCCCUGGCGUAGGCCGGUGGCUACAGGUCCGAUUAGACCCCUAGCCUGGGAACCUCCAUAUGCCAGGGGAGAGGCCCCAGAAAAGGCAAAAAG